AUGAGGCGCCAGCAGCGACUCACCCACAGCUCCGCGCCCCAGCUCAUGGCGGCUCCGCGGGCAGCGCAGGCUGACGAGAACCGGGUCCGGGGUGGCUGCACAGGGCCGGGGUCUCCUGGGCGACCGGGGCAGGACGAGAGGCCCAGAUUGUGGCAGGUGGAAUUAACCAGAUCAAGGCUCCUCUUCACAUGCUCCUGAGACCUGCCCUUGAUGAGCCCAUCGUCAAGAUAUGGGAAAAUUUGGACCCCUCGACGUCUUAGCAGACCCCGGACGAGGCUGCCAUGGCCUUGGCAGCGGAGGCGGACAGAACUGCUUACGCGCCGACUGCGGUGUGUGCACGCCCAGCAAGCAAAGGGUGGCUCUGCUGUCCUUCAGCCCAUGCAGUCUCGCAUCUAUUUGGUCAGAGAACAGACCAUUCCCAUCAAAUGGGAGGUCUUGGAUGGAGGUCAGCAUCUCCUGGGAGAGUCGGAUGGUUUGAAGCCAGGAACUGCGCCUCAUCACCACAGCGGACGCUACCACACUGGCUGCCGAGUUUGCCACAUCCCACAACAUUUGCAGGGAGCACUCGGCUGCCAUACUGCCUUCCUGCACCAGAGUAUCAAACUCUUGGGCCAAGUCCUGCAGGAGGGACUCCUUAAACUUAUGGAGGGAGUCCCAUAAAUUAAAGAUGUAAUGGCCCAAGAGGGCCUAAUGAUUUACGACCCAAAACUGUAAACUGGUGGUAGAAUAAAUUUUCCUCCCAAACAAGUACAGUUGUUUGGUCUCUUUAUUUUUUGGGGUUGAGCUGGACCAACCCUGCUUUUCUUUCUCACUGGCCACUGAGACCACCAGUGAGCCGAGGGGAGGGUGGGUAUACAGAUAUUCAGAACUUUUGGCCAGCACAAUGUAUUUCUUUUCGGCCCAUUUUGAGGUGGGAGGGAUGGAGGAAGGGCUUUGCCAGAUGGACUUAGCAAUUCUGAAGGCCUCGUUGUGACGUUGCACCCCAUAAUGCUUUAUGGAAAUAUGCUUAUGAAUGUAAAUAUGACAACUGAAAUAUGUUUUAUGAUACAUAUGCCAUGUAACAUAUCUCUGCAAAGGUUAUGAUUUACUGAAUAUACUCAUCCUAUUCAUAUGCAUGUAGCAUUUUUGUAUUUGAAGUUAUGAAUAUUGGCUGUGUACUUGUCUCAGUUUAAGUAGCCUUAGUAAAGCAUUUGGUCAGCUUCUUGAGAAAGGAAUGUGCAAAUUAAGUGCCCAACCAAGAAACACUUAACUGACAGUAGAUCUUGGAAGACUUCCAAUCCACAUAAGUAGUCUUCCUGGAGACAUUCAAGAUAGCAUGUGGGCAAUGGCUAAUGCCUGUAAAAACGGAGUCAUGCAUGGACAUGUGACUUGCCCGUGUGACUCCAAAACUCCAUCUUGGAGCUGGAUUCUGUAUAAGAGAGAGGAGGGGGUCUCCACCCACAAGAGAAAGUCUAUUUAAGCCCCUGGGAGACCCCUCUAUUUUGUCUUCAGCUGGCUCAAGAGAUAGCCUCUCCACCCCCAAGGAUACCUGAAAGAAAGGAUAGUAACCACGGGGGUGUGAGUGAUUGCUGGACCCAGACUAGGACGAGCCUAGUCUGUAAAAGAAGCUUACUGGAACAUCUCUGAGGGUGAGAUUUCAUCUAUAUUCAGUUUCUUACUGAAUUAGGUUUAGACUUGUGUGUUGUGUUUUAUUUUGUUUGGUAAUUUACUUUGUUCUGUCUGUUAUUAGU